GGACAGUUAGCUCAGUCUGGUAGAGCAAUCGCACUUAAACUGUAUAGCCUGUAGAGGUUAUUAACAGCAAACCAACUCAAGCAAUGGGUCGCAGGUUCGAAUCCUGCACUGUCCA
rnacentral:tRNA from 1 species